rnacentral:rRNA from 2 species
AGAGUUUGAUCCUGGCUCAGAGCGAACGCUGGCGGCAGGCCUAACACAUGCAAGUCGAGCGGGCACCUUCGGGUGUCAGCGGCAGACGGGUGAGUAACGCGUGGGAACGUACCCUUUGGUUCGGAACAACUCCGGGAAACUGGAGCUAAUACCGGAUACGCCCUUUUGGGGAAAGAUUUAUCGCCGGAGGAUCGGCCCGCGUCUGAUUAGCUAGUUGGUGAGGUAACGGCUCACCAAGGCGACGAUCAGUAGCUGGUCUGAGAGGAUGAUCAGCCACACUGGGACUGAGACACGGCCCAGACUCCUACGGGAGGCAGCAGUGGGGAAUAUUGGACAAUGGGCGCAAGCCUGAUCCAGCCAUGCCGCGUGAGUGAUGAAGGCCUUAGGGUUGUAAAGCUCUUUCACCCACGACGAUAAUGACGGUAGUGGGAGAAGAAGCCCCGGCUAACUUCGUGCCAGCAGCCGCGGUAAUACGAAGGGGGCUAGCGUUGCUCGGAAUCACUGGGCGUAAAGGGCGCGUAGGCGGCCGAUCAAGUCAGGGGUGAAAGCCUGUGGCUCAACCACAGAAUUGCCUUUGAUACUGUUUGGCUCGAGACCGGAAGAGGUUGGUGGAACUGCGAGUGUAGAGGUGAAAUUCGUAGAUAUUGGGAAGAACACCGAUGGCGAAGGCAGCCAUCUGGACCGACACUGACGCUGAGGCGCGAAAGCGUGGGGAGCAAACAGGAUUAGAUACCCCGGUAGUCC